GGGAGUACAGCUCAGUGGUAGAGUGCAUGCCUAGCAUGCACAAGGUCCUGGGUUCAAUCCCUGGUACCUCCA
rnacentral:tRNA from 1 species